rnacentral:rRNA from 1 species
CAGGCCUAACACAUGCAAGUCGAACGAAGGCUUCGGCCUUAGUGGCGCACGGGUGCGUAACGCGUGGGAAUCUGCCCUUGGGUUCGGAAUAACAGCUAGAAAUGGCUGCUAAUACCGGAUGAUGACGUAAGUCCAAAGAUUUAUCGCCCAAGGAUGAGCCCGCGUAGGAUUAGCUAGUUGGUGAGGUAAAGGCUCACCAAGGCGACGAUCCUUAGCUGGUCUGAGAGGAUGAUCAGCCACACUGGGACUGAGACACGGCCCAGACUCCUACGGGAGGCAGCAGUGGGGAAUAUUGGACAAUGGGCGAAAGCCUGAUCCAGCAAUGCCGCGUGAGUGAUGAAGGCCUUAGGGUUGUAAAGCUCUUUUACCCGGGAUGAUAAUGACAGUACCGGGAGAAUAAGCUCCGGCUAACUCCGUGCCAGCAGCCGCGGUAAU